GGUUUGAUUCUGGCUCAGAUUGAACGCUGGCGGGAUGCUUUACACAUGCAAGUCGAACGGCAGCACGGACUUCGGUCUGGUGGCGAGUGGCGACCGGGUGAGUAAUGUAUCGGAACGCUCUAGUGGAUAACUACGCGAAAGGUAGCUAAUACCGCAUACACCUCGGGGAAAGCGGGGACCUUCGGGCCUCGCACUAUUAGAGCGGCCGAUAUCGGAUUAGCUAGUUUGUGGGCAACGGCUCUUACCAAGGCGACGAUCCGUAGCUGGUUUGAGAGACGACCAGCCACACUGGGACUGAGACACGGCCCAGACUCCUACGGGAGGCAGCAGUGGGGAAUUUUGGACAAUGGGGGAAACCCCGAUCCAGUCAUCCGCGGAUGAAGGCCUUCGGGUUGUAAAGCACUUUGCAGGAAACGGCACGGGAUAAUACCCCGUGCAACUGACGGUGCCCAGAAUAAGCACUGGCUGCACCAUGUACCAGCAGCCGCGGUAAUACGUAGGGUGCAAGCGUUAAUCGGAAUUACUGGGCGUAGCGUGCAGCAGGCAGGCGGUUCGGAAAGAAAGAUGUGAAACUUGUGAGCUUAACUUUGGAACUGCAUUUUUAACUACCGAGCUAGAGUGAGCUGAGGGAGGUGGAAUUCCUGCGUGUAGCAGUGAAAUGCGUAGAUAUGCGGAGGAACACCGAUGGCGAAGGCAGCCUCCUGGGAUAACACUGACGCUCAUGCACGAGUGGAGCAAACAGGAUUAGAUACCCUGGUAGUCCACGCCCUAAACGAUGUCAACUAGCUGUUGGGGCUCGCCUUUGGUAGCGCAGCUAACGGUGAAGUUGACCGCCUGGGGAGUACGGUCGUAAAGAUUAAAACCCAAGCAAUGAUUGGGACUCCGCACAAGCGGUGGAUGAUGUGGAUUAAUUCGAUGCAACGCGAAAAACCUUACCUACCCUUUGACAUGUCUGGAAUCAAAGAGAUUUGGGAGUGCUCGCAAGAGAACCGGAACACAGGUGCUGCAUGGCUGUCGUCAGCUCGUGUCGAGAUGUUGGGUUAAGUCCGCAACGAGCGCAACCCUUGUCAUUAUUGCUACGAAAGGGCACUCUAAUGAGACUGCCAAGUAUUGUUCCGAAGGUGGAUGACGUCAAGUCCUCAUGGCCCUGCGGCAGGGCUUCACACGUCAUACAAUGGUCGGGGACAGAGGGUCGCCAACCCGCAGGGGGAGCCAAUCCCAGAAACCCGAUCGUGUCCGGAUCGCAGUCUGCAACUCGACUGCGGAAGUCGGAAUCGCUAGUAAUCGCGGAUCAGUGCAUGUCGCGGUGAAUACGUUCCCGGGUCUUGUACACACCGCCCGUCACACCAUGGGAGUGGGUUUUACCAGAAGUAGCGGUGGCCUAACCGUAAGGAGGGCGAUUACCACGGUAGGAUUCAUGACUUGGGGUGAAGUCGGAAUAAGGU
rnacentral:rRNA from 1 species